rnacentral:rRNA from 1 species
AACGAACGCUGGCGGCGCGCCUAAUACAUGCAAGUCGAGCGAGAAGGUGUAGCAAUACACUUGUAAAGCGGCGAACGGGUGAGGAAUACAUGGGUAAUCUACCAUCGAGUGGGGAAUAACCAACCGAAAGGUUGGCUAAUACCGCGUACGCCUCCGAGUCUUCGGGUUCGGAGGGAAAGCUGCACUGUGAGUGUAGCGCUCUUUGAUGAGCUCAUGUCCUAUCAGCUUGUUGGUAGGGUAACGGCCUACCAAGGCUUUGACGGGUAGCUGGUCUGAGAGGACGAUCAGCCACACUGGCACUGCGACACGGGCCAGACUCCUACGGGAGGCAGCAGUAAGGAAUAUUGCGCAAUGGGCGAAAGCCUGACGCAGCGACGCCGCGUGGGGAUGAAGGUCUUCGGAUUGUAAACCCUUUCGGAGGGAAGAUGGAACGAGCAAUCGUUCGGACGGUACCUCCAGAAGCAGCCACGGCCAACUUCGUGCCAGCAGCCG